rnacentral:rRNA from 1 species
GAUGAACGCUGGCGGCGUGCCUAAUACAUGCAAGUCGAGCGAAUGGAUUAAGAGCUUGCUCUUAUGAAGUUAGCGGCGGACGGGUGAGUAACACGUGGGUAACCUGCCCAUAAGACUGGGAUAACUCCGGGAAACCGGGGCUAAUACCGGAUAAUAUUUUGAACUGCAUGGUUCAAAAUUGAAAGGCGGCUUCGGCUGUCACUUAUGGAUGGACCCGCGUCGCAUUAGCUAGUUGGUGAGGUAACGGCUCACCAAGGCAACGAUGCGUAGCCGACCUGAGAGGGUGAGCGGCCACACUGGGACUGGGACACGGCCCAGACUCCUACGGGAGGCAGCAGUAGGGAAUCUUCCGCAAUGGACGAAAGUCUGACGGAGCAACGCCGCGUGAGUGGUGAAGGCUUUCGGGUCGUAAAACUCUGUUGUUAGGGAAGAACAAGUGCUAGUUGAAUAAGCUGGCACCUUGACGGUACCUAACCAGAAAGCCACGGCUAACUACGUGCCAGCCGCCGCCGUAA